AACCCAUUUAAGUUGGGCUUUGGGGACAAUUUAUAUAUAAGGCAGCCGCAGAACUUCAUUAUAUUCAAACCCUAGUGUCUCUCUAAACUCUAUCAGUUUCUGCUUUCAUUUUCAGCAGGUAGCCGAUCUGAAGACGGCGCCGUCGACCGGUAAACAUGGUACACGUCGCCUUUUACCGCAACUAUGGGAAGACCUUUAAGAAACCUCGACGUCCC